rnacentral:rRNA from 1 species
ACCUGCCCACUGAUAAAUUGAAUGGCCGCAGUAAUUUGACUGUGCAAAGGUAGCAUAAUCAUUAGUUUUUUAAUUAAAAGCUUGUAUGAAGGGUUGGACGAGGUAAAAUCUGUCUCUAUUUAAUUACUUGUAGAAUUUAAUUUUUAAGUUAAAAAGCUUAAAUAUUUAUAAAAGACGAGAAGACCCUAUAGAUCUUUAUAUUUAUAUAAUUAAUUUUAAUUAAGAAUAUUUUAUUUUUUAUUUAUGUAAGUAUUUUAUUGGGGUAAUAAAGAGAUUAAUAAAAUUCUUUUUGAUAUAUUAUACUAAUUAGUAAUUAUAUGAUCCAAUUAUUUUGAUUAAAAGAUUAAGUUACCUUAGGGAUAACAGCGUAAUUUUUUUAGAGAGUUCAUAUCGAUAAAAAAGUUUGCGACCUCGAUGUUGGAUUAAAAAUUGUUCUAGGUGCAGAAGUUUAGAAAUUUGGUCUGUUCGACCAUUAAAUUUUU